rnacentral:rRNA from 1 species
AUUGAACGCUGGCGGAACGCUUUACACAUGCAAGUCGAGCGGCAGCGCGGGGCAACCUGGCGGCGAGCGGCGAACGGGUGAGUAACACAUCGGAACGUACCCUAUCGUGGGGGAUAACGAAUCGAACGAUUCGCUAAUACCGCAUACGACCUGAGGGUGAAAGCAGGGGAUCGCAAGACCUUGUGCGAUUGGAGCGGCCGAUGUCGGAUUAGCUAGUUGGUGAGGUAAAGGCUCACCAAGGCGACGAUCCGUAGCUGGUCUGAGAGGACGACCAGCCACACUGGGACUGCGACACGGCCCAGACUCCUACGGGAGGCAGCAGUGGGGAAUUUUGGACAAUGGGGGCAACCCUGAUCCAGCCAUUCCGCGUGAGUGAAGAAGGCCUUCGGGUUGUAAAGCUCUUUCGGCAGGAACGAAACGGUGCAGGUUAAUACCCUGCAUCAAUGACGGUACCUGAAGAAGAAGCACCGGCUAAUUACGUGCCAGCCGCCGCCAUAAAAC